GAUGAACGCUGACAGAAUGCUUAACACAUGCAAGUCAACUUGAAUUUGGGUUUUUAACCUAGGUUUGGGUGGCGGACGGGUGAGUAACGCGUAAAGAACUUGCCUCACAGCUAGGGACACAUUUGGAAACGAAUGCUAAUACCUAAUAUUAUGAUAAUAGGGCAUCCUAUAAUUAUGAAAGCUAUAAGCGCUGUGAGAGAGCUUUGCGUCCCAUUAGCUAGUUGGAGAGGUAACGGCUCACCAAGGCGAUGAUGGGUAGCCGGCCUGAGAGGGUGAUCGGCCACAAGGGGACUGAGACACGGCCCUUACUCCUACGGGAGGCAGCAGUGGGGAAUAUUGGACAAUGGACCGAGAGUCUGAUCCAGCAAUUCUGUGUGCACGAUGAAGUUUUUCGGAAUGUAAAGUGCUUUCAGUUGGGAAGAAACAAAUGACGGUACCAACAGAAGAAGUGACGGCUAAAUACGUG
rnacentral:rRNA from 1 species